rnacentral:rRNA from 1 species
AGCAGCCGCGGUAAAUUCCAGCUCCAAUAGCGUAUAUUAAAGUUGUUGCAGUUAAAAAGCUCGUAGUUGAAUUUCGGGGUUCUACCGUUGGUCGGGCAAUAGUCUGUACUGGCGUGUGGAAUUUCUACCUUCUGGGGAACCAUCAUGUUAUUGAUUUAGCAUAGUGGGAAACCAGGACCUUUACCUUGAAAAAAUUAGAAUGUUCAAAGCAGGUUUACGUCUGAAUACAUUAGCAUGGAAUAAUAAAAUAGGACAGUGGUCCUGUUUUGUUGGUUUCUGAAUCACCGUAAUGAUUAAUAGGGAUAGUUGGGGGCAUUAGUAUUCAAUUGUCAGAGGUGAAAUUCUUGGAUUUAUUGAAGACUAACUUCUGCGAAAGCAUUUGCCAAGGAUGUUUUCAUUA